UACGUAGGGUGCAAGCGUUGUCCGGAAUUAUUGGGCGUAAAGAGCUCGUAGGCGGUCUGUCGCGUCUGCUGUGAAAACUCGGGGCUUAACCCCGGGCCUGCAGUGGGUACGGGCAGACUAGAGUGCGGUAGGGGAGACUGGAAUUCCUGGUGUAGCGGUGAAAUGCGCAGAUAUCAGGAGGAACACCGGUGGCGAAGGCAGCCCCCUGGGCCGACACUGACGCUCAGGCACGAAAGCGUGGGGAGCAAACAGG
rnacentral:rRNA from 1 species